GUUAACCCUGUGUGUGUGUGUAUAUAUCCUUGCUUGUUUCCCUCAGUCUUUGUCUGGUCAUUUUCGUGUGUAUACGCUCUGUCUCAUAUUGUCUGCCUUGCUCGUCGUGUUUCCCUCCUUCCUUUCGAUUCUGUUUCGAUUACCUUGUUUUUGGACUCAGCUUAUCAGCUACUCUGCCAACUGGCUGAGAGAGGCCGAGCAGUGUGAAGCCACGAUACAUUGCUUGUAUAGCUGGAGCAUAGUGUCCAAUGCACCUUUUUGUACCAAAGUAUAAAUGUGUAAAUAUACAGUAUAUAAAUGUCA